UCCGCAUCCCGCUCGCUGGGAGAGAGGUACAUCUCCUUUUUCCUCUCCCUUUCCCUAAGGAGUGGAGUCAACAUAUCAAUGGAGCAAGUCACAGUCGUCGAUGCCAGCUUCUUCUUGAAAUCUACCCAGAAUGGAAUCCUGACAAUGAUACAGGACAUACAAUGGGUGAUCCAUUCAUGUUGCAGCAGUCUACAAAUCCAGCACCAGGAAUUCUGGGACCUCCACCUCCCUCGUUUCAUCUUGGGGGACCAGCAGUUGGGCCAAGAGGAAAUCUGGGUGCUGGAAAUGGAAACCUGCAGGGCACAUGCAAAAAGGCAGAGUGGAAACUAGCAGAGUUGUUCACAUCAUGGAUUUUCAACGAGGGAAAAACUUGAGAUAUCAGCUGUUACAACUGGUGGAACCAUUUGGAGUCAUUUCAAAUCAUCUGAUUCUAAAUAAAAUUAAUGAGGCAUUUAUUGAAAUGGCAACCACAGAGGAUGCUCAGGCCGCGGUGGAUUAUUAUACAACCACACCAGCGUUAGUAUUUGGCAAGCCAGUGAGAGUUCAUUUAUCCCAGAAGUAUAAAAGAAUAAAGAAACCUGAAGGAAAGCCAGAUCAGAAGUUUGAUCAAAAGCAAGAGCUUGGACGUGUGAUACACUCAGCAAUUUGCCUCAUUCUGGCUAUUCUGACAGUGCUGUCCUCAAGCUUGCUGAGCCCUAUGGGAAAAUAAAGAAUUACAUAUUGAUGAGGAUGAAAAGUCAGGCUUUUAUUGAGAUGGAGACAAGAGAAGAUGCAAUGGCAAUGGUUGACCAUUGUUUGAAAAAAGCUCUUUGGUUUCAGGGGAGAUGUGUGAAGGUUGACCUGUCUGAGAAAUAUAAAAAACUGGUACUGAGGAUUCCCAACAGAGGCAUUGAUUUACUGAAAAAAGAUAAAUCCCGGAAAAGAUCUUAUUCUCCAGACGGCAAAGAAUCUCCAAGUGAUAAGAAAUCUAAGACUGAUGGUUCCCAGAAGACUGAAAGUUCAACCGAAGGUAAAGAACAAGAAGAGAAGUCCGGUGACGAUGGUGAGAAAGACACAAAGGAUGACCAGACAGAGCAGGAACCUAAUAUGCUUCUUGAAUCUGAAGAUGAACUACUUGUCGAUGAAGAAGAAGCAGCAGCACUGCUAGAAAGUGGCAGUUCAGUGGGAGACGAGGCCGAUCUUGCUAAUUUAGGUGAUGUGACUUCUGAUGGAAAAAAGGAAUCUUCAGAAAAAGCUGUGAAAAAAGAUGCAAGUGCUUCAGCAGCAGCAAAGAAAAAGCUUAAAAAGGUGGACAAGAUCGAGGAACUUGAUCAAGAAAAUGAAGCAGCGUUGGAAAAUGGAAUUAAAAAUGAGGAAAAUACAGAACCAGGUGCUGAAUCCGCUGAGAACGCUGAAGAUCCCAACAAAGAUACAAGUGAAAAUGCAGAUGGUCAAAGUGAUGAGAACAAGGAGGACUAUACAAUCCCAGAUGAGUAUAGAAUUGGACCGUAUCAGCCCAACGUUCCUGUUGGUAUAGACUAUGUGAUACCUAAAACAGGGUUUUACUGUAAGCUGUGUUCACUCUUUUAUACAAAUGAAGAAGUUGCAAAGAAUACUCACUGCAGCAGCCUUCCUCAUUAUCAGAAAUUAAAGAAAUUUCUGAAUAAAUUGGCAGAAGAACGCAGGCAGAAGAAGGAAACUUAAGAUGUGCAAGAAGAUUAAAUGAUUUCAAAGAAAAUAAUGGUUCUUUGUUUUUAAUGUUAACCUUUUUUAAAUACAAUACUGAUAGUUAGAAGAAAAUUAUUGUACUCUUUUGUAGUGGAGAAAUAAUAGAUGUCUGUUCAUGUGUUAAGUGUUAUAGCAAAAAAAAAUGCAUACAGUUAAGUUAAUGAAUAGUUUUUGUUUUAUCAGAAUGGCAACAGACUGAAGUACUUUGUAGAGAUUGACUUUGUAAGCUAAUACUUAAGACAACUUGCACCAGUAAGAAAAUGUAGAACCAUUUGGAAAAAUGAAAUUUAGUAUUUCCAAGUUUCAAAGAAAUGUCAACAUUUUGUUCCAUUCAAUAAAGAACAAAACUAAUAGUAUUUUUAUUACUUUCAUCUGAAACAUUCCAUGUUUUAAUCUGAGCCUUGCAGACUUUUCAUUUGGAGUUUGAACCUGUUUUGGUGCAUUUCAUUUUUGGAGAACUUCAUCAAUGUGAGAUUGGCAAUUCAGAUGCAGGUGCAGUUUUCUGUUGAUGUCAUGCUGUUGUUUAGGUAAUAAGAAAUAUUAAGUAAUUGGCUUUAGAUUUUGUAAUUUUUUUCCCUGAGUUUGUAUUCUAGUAGUCAAUGUAUUUUCAGUGAAAUGUAAAAAUAUUCCCGUUCUCUUUGACCAGUAUUAAUUUUUGAGAUCUUAUUGCUUGUCACUUGAAUCCCAUAAUUGUCAUACAUCUCUGGUAUAAGCAACAUUUAAUUUUUGAAGUGUGUAGACGAUCUCUUCAUAUUUUCAAGAUGUAAUUUUACAGUUCUGCAUUUUAAAAAGUUUGGCCAUAAUCCUAGAUGCACGCUUCUAAUUCAUGUACCUGCACAUGUGACCUUUGUGAACAGAAAUUUGCAUGUAUAAUUUGUGUUUACUUGUAACUUUCUGGUUAUAUACUGCUUAUAUCUGUGGAUUCAAGUUACUGAAGUGAAUACCAAUAAAAAAAAACUUAGGCCAUGUUCA